rnacentral:rRNA from 1 species
UGCAAGUCGAGGGGCAGCAUGACUGUAGCAAUACAGUUGAUGGCGACCGGCAAACGGGUGCGGAACACGUACGCAACCUACCCAAAACUGGGGAAUAGCCCGGGGAAACCCGGAUUAAUACCUCGUAACAUAAUUGAAUGGCAUCAUUUAAUUAUUAUAGCUCCGGCGGUUCUGGAUGGGCGUGCGCCUGAUUAGAUAGUUGGCGGGGUAACGGCCCACCAAGUCUGCGAUCAGUAACUGGUGUGAGAGCACGACCAGUCACACGGGCACUGAGACACGGGCCCGACUCCUACGGGAGGCAGCAGUAAGGAAUAUUGGUCAAUGGACGCAAGUCUGAACCAGCCAUGCCGCGUGAAGGAUGAAGGUCCUCUGGAUUGUAAACUUCUUUUAUAUGGGACGAAACCUCUUUUUCUAAAGAGACUGACGGUACCAUAAGAAUAAGCACCGGCUAACUCCGUGCCAGCAGCCGCGGUAAUACGGAGGGUGCAAGCGUUAUCCGGAUUCACUGGGUUUAAAGGGUGCGUAGGAGGGCAGGUAAGUCAGUGGUGAAAUCUCCAAGCUUAACUUGGAAACUGCCGUUGAUACUAUCUGUCUUGAAUAUUGUGGAGGUGAGCGGAAUAUGUCAUGUAGCGGUGAAAUGCUUAGAUAUGACAUAGAACACCAAUUGCGAAGGCAGCUUCGCUACCACAUAUAUGGACUCUGAGGCACGAAAGCGUGGGGAAUCAAACAGGAUUAGAUACCCUGGUAGUCCACGCCCUAAACGAUGGAUACCUCGACAUAUGCAAUAAACUGGUGUGUGUCUGACCGAAAGCAUUAAGUAUCCCACCUGGGAAGUACGACCGCAAGGUUGAAACUCAAAGGAAUUGGCGGGGGUCCGCACAAGCGGUGGAACAUGUG